GCUUAAUGUUCCCCUCGGUGACUGUGUGCCCUAUGACUAGAUUUAAGCCUAUAGUUUGUUAAGGAAUGAUUUCAACCUGUUUCAAAGAAUGACCUGAACAUUUUAUAAUCUACAUUGAAGAAAGUUGUGCCCUUUAUUUUAAGCCCUUGAAGCUAUUGCAGAGAAUGCACAGCUGCACAGGAGGAGGUUAGAGAACCUAAGAGAACACCUGAGUCUCCACUGAAAAUGAAGCAACCACAGCCCAGAUGGACUACUUUAUUCAAGGAAAAGCGAAAAAUUAACAUAUUGAUAAUGCAAAUAAUUAUCCCAUCAGCAUUAUGUUGUCAAACAUUCAGUCUGAAAAUAAAGAGAUGAGGUCUAUACAUUUUUUUGAGGCAAACCUUACCACUAUGUGUUAGGUGAAGUUAUUUGUCAAGGUUAUGUGAGACUUUAUUCAGGGGUAUGGGUAGAAACUGCAGCUUUGGCAAGCAG